GAUGAAGAACGCAGCGAAAUGCGAUAAGUAAUGUGAAUUGCAGAAUUCAGUGAAUCAUCGAAUCUUUGAACGCACAUUGCGCCCCCUGGUAUUCCGGGGGGCAUGCCUGUUCGAGCGUCAUUACAACCCUCAAGCUCUGCUUGGUAUUGGGCCCCGCCAGUUCUGGCGGGCCCUAAAGUCAGUGGCGGUGCCUUCCGGCUCCGAGCGUAGUAAUUCUUCUCGCUCUGGAGGUCCGGUCGUGUGCUCGCCAGCAACCCCCAAUUUUUUUCAGGUUGACCUCGGAUCAGGUAGGGAUACCCGCUGAACUUAAGCAUAUCAAUAAGCGGAGGA
rnacentral:misc_RNA from 1 species